UAUUCUAGUGGUGAGGGGAUGUUCCGACUCCCAGCCGAAAGGUUUUGGGUUCGAACCCCAAUGUCC